rnacentral:rRNA from 1 species
CCUACGGGAGGCAGCAGUGGGGAAUAUUGGACAAUGGGGGCAACCCUGAUCCAGUCAUGCCGCGUGUGUGAAGAAGGCCCUCGGGUUGUAAAGCACUUUCAGUGAGGAAGAACGCCUGGUGGUUAAUACCCAUCAGGAAAGACAUCACUCACAGAAGAAGCACCGGCUAACUCCGUGCCAGCAGCCGCGGUAAUACGGAGGGUGCGAGCGUUAAUCGGAAUUACUGGGCGUAAAGCGCGCGUAGGUGGCUUGAUAAGCCGGUUGUGAAAGCCCCGGGCUCAACCUGGGAACGGCAUCCGGAACUGUCAAGCUAGAGUGCAGGAGAGGAAGGUAGAAUUCCCGGUGUAGCGGUGAAAUGCGUAGAGAUCGGGAGGAAUACCAGUGGCGAAGGCGGCCUUCUGGACUGACACUGACACUGAGGUGCGAAAGCGUGGGUAGCAAACAGGAUUAGAUACCCCGGUAGUC